rnacentral:pre_miRNA from 1 species
CAGCAGGGUCCACUGUACCGUAUUGGCCCUUUAUUCUGAUAGGGCAGUGUGGUACAAGGGAACCCUGAGG